CAGACAUCAUUUUUUUAGUGUGCUUCGUAAUUGGAAAUGUGUUAUUAUAGGCCUAUUAAUAAAUUUGAAACCCCUUAAAAUAUAUAUACAGUUAGAUACAAAUCUUAGAUACAUUUAACUAACGAACGUUAAAACGGCUUGCCAUACAAAAGCUUUUUUUCCAGCGCCCAUUAAUGGUUUUGAUAUUCACAUUUCCGCCGCCCAAUGAAAUCUCCCAGAAAUCUUUUUAAUAACGCGUUCUCGCUCACUCAGUCACAGUUUUCAUCAUACUGCUGACAUGGAAGCGCUGUUGGAUUACGUUGUUCGUAUUGGCAGUGGCAAUGAUCAGACACUUGAUGCAGGAUCUGCAGUUCUCUUUAACUUCAUCUUUGAAUGGCUUCAUCAACACUUAGACAAAGAAGCUGAAAUAACCUGUUGGUUACAAAAUAAUUUGGGUAUUGUUGAGAAAAGUGACCCCAGCCAUAAAGAUGCAAUCGAGUGUAUGGUGAGGAUUGCAAAUGAAAUGGAAGGAAAUGAAGAACUACAAGGGAUGUUAAAUAGCGCUCUCUUAAAUCCAACUCUAGAACACUACAUCCUUGUGGUCAAUGGGACCUUCUCUGAUGUGACAUUAAGCUGGGGCUGCUGAAAUCAACUCUGUUGACUUGGUCAGAAGCAUUAUAAACUGGACUAUGCCUUUUAUUAGAAAGACCUGCAUUUUAACCUGGAUCAGGGAACAGGGUGGAUGGGGCGCAAUCCGCUCAUAUUUCGGGACCCCCACCUGGCAGACAGUUGGAGUUUUCCUUGCUGGAGUUCUUACUGUAGGCUUGGUGCUCUACAAAAUGUGAACCCGAGGAUGACAAAGUGGAAUAACAGAGAGUCGAGACAUUGAGGCUGAAACAGACCAGCAAAAUAUAAUGGAAGGAUAAGGGUGAAGAGAAAGUUGAAAAAAGAAAGAUGACACAUUGUCUCAAGCCACUUUUGUUACCCCUAUUCUUCUGCUGUGAUUAUUUUGCUUUUUAAAUCUUGAACAAUUAUGUCUUUUAAUUAAAUAUUUAAUUUUAAAAUUUGCACAUUUACACCAAGGAAUGCAUGGGUGAUUCAGAGUUAGGCUUAAUUUUGGCCAUUUAUUUUUUUAUUUGGAACAGGUUUCAUGGUAUUUUUAUUACUAAUGCCAAAGCGUCAUCUAUCAUUAAUCUUUUUACAUAAUUUUAAUUCUUUGAAAACCUUUUAAACUUUUCUAGGCUUUUCACGAAAAUAAAACAAGCUAAUCUGCAGACCAUGCAGACAAAAAGUUGAUUAUUCAAACUGCUCUUAAAUAAUUUGCAAACAAAUGAAUCACAAAGGCUGUAUCUCCAUAAAACAUGUGUGUAAUGACGACCAUAACAUCCAGUGGUCAGUCUUUAAAAAGAACAACCAGCCAAUCAGGCUACAGUAUGUGGGAGUGUCUUGGCAAGAACGUCCUAUAACAGGAAAGGACAGAACUAGUGACCUAAAAUAAUUUUUAACUUCACUAAGCCACGCUGAUACUUUUUACACAAAUAAAUCAUUUCCUUUUUGAUUACUGAAAGAGCCAGUGAAACUUUCCAAAGCAGAUUCAUUUCUCAUCUGGGAUUUAAUAAAACACAGGUAGUUUGGCUGGAACUAGUGCAAAGAAUGAGUAAGAGUUAGUCAAGAGGUCCAGACCUGACAAACAGAUGAUAUGAGCUCUUCCCCUUAGCAAAGGGGUACUGUAGUACUGUAUUUUCACCAUUGUAAGUCAGACCUAUAAUCUGAACUUUUUUAUUCUAUGUAUUUUUUGGUCUAUGUAAUAUGAGCCCAUGAGUUUGUUUUGCUUUGUUUUUGUACGAAUAAAUAAAUACUUUUUUCACAUAUUAAAAA